GAUGAACGCUGGCGGCGUGCUUAACACAUGCGAGUCGAACGAUGAAGCCCAGCUUGCUGGGUGGAUUAGUGGCGAACGGGUGAGUAACACGUGAGUAACCUGCCCUUAACUCUGGGAUAAGCCUGGGAAACUGGGUCUAAUACCGGAUAGGAGCGCCUACCGCAUGGUGGGUGUUGGAAAGAUUUAUCGGUUUUGGAUGGACUCGCGGCCUAUCAGCUUGUGGGUGAGGUAAGGGCUCACCAAGGCGACGACGGGUAGCCGGCCUGAGAGGGUGACCGGCCACACUGGGCCUGCGACACGGCCCAGACUCCUACGGGAGGCAGCAGUGGGGAAUAUUGCACAAUGGGCGAAAGCCUGAUGCAGCGACGCCGCGUGAGGGAUGACGGCCUUCGGGUUGUAAACCUCUUUCAGUAGGGAAGAAGCGAAAGUGACGGUACCUGCAGAAGAAGCACCGGCUAACUACGUG
rnacentral:rRNA from 1 species